GAUCCCUUUGUGACGUGUCUCCAGGAUACGUUAUCUAUGAAGACAGGAAGUGAAUCAUUCAGAGGUGGCCUCAGGCCCACAAAUCCCUGUGUGCCCUGGAAAGACACAUACGUGGGGUCGAGGAGCAGAAAGCAACGAAGUCCUUCUCGAUGUGGACCUUCUGGAUGGCAUCACUCUCCAGGAGCAGAGGUCGAUGUGAGAAGCUGUUGGUUGAGGCCGCUGAGGCACACCAAAGCU